CCUACGGGUGGCAGCAGUGGGGAAUAUUGCACAAUGGGCGAAAGCCUGAUGCAGCGACGCCGCGUGAGGGAUGACGGCCUUUGGGUUGUAAACCUCUUUCAGUAGGGAAGCGGUACCUACAGAAGAAGCACCGGCUAACUACGUGCCAGCAGCCGCGGUAAUACGUAGGGUGCGAGCGUUGUCCGGAAUUAUUGGGCGUAAAGAGCUUGUAGGCGGUUUGUCGCGUCUGCUGUGAAAAUCCGGGGCUCAACCCCGGACUUGCAGUGGGUACGGGCAGACUAGAGUGUGGUAGGGGAGACUGGAAUUCCUGGUGUAGCGGUGAAAUGCGCAGAUAUCAGGAGGAACACCGAUGGCGAAGGCAGGUCUCUGGGCCACACUGACGCUGAGAAGCGAAAGCAUGGGGAGCGAACAGGAUUAGAUACCCUAGUAGUC
rnacentral:rRNA from 1 species